UGGGGAAUAUUGGACAAUGGGCGAAAGCCUGAUCCAGCCAUGCCGCGUGUGUGAAGAAGGUCUUCGGAUUGUAAAGCACUUUCAGUUGGGAGGAAGGGCAUUAACCUAAUACGUUAGUGUCUUGACGUUACCGACAGAAUAAGCACCGUCUAACUCUGUUCCAGCAGCCGCGGUAAUACAGAUGGUGCAAGCGUUAAUCGGAAUUACUGGGCGUAAAGCGCGCGUAGGUGGUUCGUUAAGUUUGAUGUGAAAUCCCCGGGCUCAACCUGGGAACUGCAUUCAAAACUGGCGAGCUAGAGUAUGGUAGAGGGUGGUGGAAUUUCCUGUGUAGCGGUGAAAUGCGUAGAUAUAGGAAGGGACACCAGUGGCGAAGGCGACCACCUAGACUGAUACUGGCACUGAGGUGCGAAAGCGUGGGGAGCAAACA
rnacentral:rRNA from 1 species